UCGCUCUAUCUCUGUCUCUCGCUCUAUCUCUGUCUCUCGCUCUAUCGAGAGACAGAGAUAGAGCGAGAGACAGAGAUAGAGCGAGAGACAGAGAUAGAGCG
rnacentral:pre_miRNA from 1 species